rnacentral:lncRNA from 1 species
AUUGUAUUUACUGAUGCUGGGAAUCUCAGAGGUUAAAGGGUUUGCCAAAGAAGUACGAUGGGCACAAGAGAAGAAUGCCUCCCAACAACCUGAGACUUGCACGCAGACUGCAGAUGUUUUGACAGCAAAUGAGUAUCAGUGUAGACACAAGCCUGCAUUCCAUGCUUGUAUGAAGCUGAACACAAGGCCUUGCAUGCUGCUGGAGGCAAAACUUCGAAAAAGGAAGACAAAAUGCCAACAAUGUUAACCAGAAGAAAGAAAAAAGCCCAGGAAACAUAACUAUUUUAAUAACUGUGCAAGUCCAAUACAUACUGCAAUUGCAGUUAUGUUUCAUUUCUUUGACUCAACCCUGAAAAGGAGAAAGGGCAGUAAUGUUGAAAGCACUACCGAAGGUCUAAUUAUUGUCUAAUGAUAUAAAUACUGUUGCUGAUAAUUACACUUAAUUAAAUUAUUAACUAGGUGUUGACUAAUUAACUAGGGCUUUGUAAAUGUGAAGCACUCUUAAUAGCUAUUAUUAUUGUACUGCUUAUAACUAAAUAUCUUUGCUACCGCAUGUGUACACAGGCUUCUGCUGCAAUCUCUGUGAACUGAUAUCCCAGUUAUGCCAUUGCCACUCAUUGCUCAUAAAAUGUACAAAGCUAUAUGCAAUGUUAUUUCCCUUAAAGAACUGUAAAAAAGAUAAAUGAUAUCCAAUGAGCUGAGAACAUGACAUCAGAUCCAGUUGUUUGAUUCCCUCGGUAGGUAAUUGCGUACAUUCCCAUGUGAGUGCAUAUUUUUUUUAUCUGCCUUCUUUUAACUCUGUAUGGAAAUUGAGACUUUCAAAUAUUUCAAUAAUAGCAUGAAAUGGAGUAUUUUAAUGGCCUUUUGUUUUUAUGAACUGCUUGAUAUGAGCCAAAUCUCAAACUGCUUAAGUCAAUAAAAGAUUGCCAUUGACUCCA